rnacentral:misc_RNA from 1 species
UACUAUCACACUCUCUAAUUAGUUAGAGAGCGGUGGAUUUGGAUGCUGCCUGGUACUUACUGUCAGGCUCAUCUUAAAUAAAUUAGUGCGACUCUUAGUUAAACAUAGUACGGCGUGAUAAGUAACCCUCGCUGUUUUCUGUCUGAUUAGGAGGAGCUCUGUGCUUCAAACGGUCUCAGGACAAUAUUUGAUA